rnacentral:rRNA from 1 species
GACGAACGCUGGCGGCGCGCCUAACACAUGCAAGUCGAACGGUGAAGAGGAGCUUGCUCCUCGGAACAGUGGCGGACGGGUGAGUAACACGUGAGCAACCUGGCUCUAAGAGGGGGACAACAGUUGGAAACGACUGCUAAUACCGCAUGACGUAUCGGGAUGGCAUCUUCCUGAUACCAAAGAUUUUAUCGCUUAGAGAUGGGCUCGCGUCUGAUUAGAUAGUUGGCGGGGUAACGGCCCACCAAGUCGACGAUCAGUAGCCGGACUGAGAGGUUGAACGGCCACAUUGGGACUGAGACACGGCCCAGACUCCUACGGGAGGCAGCAGUGGGGGAUAUUGGACAAUGGGGGCAACCCUGAUCCAGCGACGCCGCGUGAGGGAAGAAGGUUUUCGGAUUGUAAACCUCUGUUGACGGGGAAAAAAAUGAUGGUAUCCGUUUAGAAAGCCACGGCUAACUACGUG